GUUGAGCGAUGACGAUUGUGCUUGCCUUUGAAGAGCAGCGAACGGGUGAGUAACGCGUGGGGAAUCUGCCUUUGAGCGGGGGACAACAUUUGGAAACGAAUGCUAAUACCGCAUAACAACUUUAAACAUAAGUUUUAAGUUUGAAAGAUGCAAUUGCAUCACUCAAAGAUGAUCCCGCGUUGUAUUAGCUAGUUGGUGAGGAAAGGCUCACCAAGGCGAUGAUACAUAGCCGACCUGAGAGGGUGAUCGGCCACAUUGGGACUGAGACACGGCCCAAACUCCUACGGGAGGCAGCAGUAGGGAAUCUUCGGCAAUGGACGAAAGUCUGACCGAGCAACGCCGCGUGAGUGAAGAAGGUUUUCGGAUCGUAAAACUCUGUUGGUAGAAAGAACGUUGGUGAGAGUGGAAAGCUCAUCAAGUGAC
rnacentral:rRNA from 1 species